GUUGGGGGUUUGCUGGCGGCGAAAAGCUGUCAGCUCUCCUGAAAUGCAUUAGCAAAGGGNGGCAAGUCUUUGACAUGCACGGCCUUCGACGUGAUAAUGAUCGUCGUGGCUGGAGUGUCACAGGACAUGCAUGAAUCGUCCGUGCUUCUAAUCCUACCUAGCCACGAGUCGAGAGGCGGCUGGCUUGUGUUUUUGGAAACUUGACCUCAAAUCAGGUAGGACUACCCGCUGAACUUAAGCAUAUCAAUAAGCGGAGGAAAAGAAACUAACAAGGAUUCCCCUAGUAACUGCGAGUGAAGCGGGAAGAGCUCAAAUUUUGAAUCUGGCGGUCU
rnacentral:rRNA from 1 species